rnacentral:rRNA from 1 species
CGGUUUGGGUGGCGGACGGGUGAGUAACGCGUAAAGAACUUGCCUCACAGUUUGGGACAACAUUUGGAAACGAAUGCUAAUACCGAAUAUUAUGAUCGGAUGGCAUCAUUUGAUUAUGAAAGCUAUAUGCGCUGUGAGAGAGCUUUGCGUCCCAUUAGCUAGUUGGAGAGGUAACGGCUCACCAAGGCGAUGAUGGGUAGCCGGCCUGAGAGGGUGAACGGCCACAAGGGGACUGAGACACGGCCCUUACUCCUACGGGAGGCAGCAGUGGGGAAUAUUGGACAAUGGACCAAAAGUCUGAUCCAGCAAUUCUGUGUGCACGAUGAAGUUUUUCGGAAUGUAAAGUGCUUUCAGUUGGGAAGAAGAAAGUGACGGUACCAACAGAAGAAGUGACGGCUAAAUACGUGCCAGCAGCCGCGGUAAUACGUAUGUCACAAGCGUUAUCCGGAUUUAUUGGGCGUAAAGCGCGUCUAGGCGGUUAAUUAAGUCUGAUGUGAAAAUGCGGAGCUCAACUCCGUAUUGCGUUGGAAACUGGUUAACUAGAGUACUGGAGAGGUAAGCGGAACUACAAGUGUAGAGGUGAAAUUCGUAGAUAUUUGUAGGAAUGCCGAUGGGGAAGCCAGCUUACUGGACAGAUACUGACGCUAAAGCGCGAAAGCGUGGGUAGCAAACAGGAUUAGAUACCCUGGUAGUCCACGCUGUAAACGAUGAUUACUAGGUGUUGGGGGUCGAACCUCAGCGCCCAAGC